rnacentral:rRNA from 1 species
AGAUUGAACGCUGGCGGCAUGCCUAACACAUGCAAGUCGAACGGGAGUAGCAAUACUCUAGUGGCGGACGGGUGAGAAAUACGUAGGAAUUUGCCCUUAAGUGGGGGAUAACCCGGGGAACCCGGAUUAAUACCGCAUGACCUCGAAAGAGCAAAGUGGGGGAUCGCAAGACCUCACGCUUUUGGAGAAGCCUACGUCGGAUUAGCUAGGUUGGUGAGGUAAUGGCUCACCAAGGCGACGAUCCGUAACUGGUCUGAGAGGAUAAUCAGUCACACCGGAACUGAGACACGGUCCGGACUCCCUACGGGAGGCAGCAGUGGGGAAUAGUUAGGAC